AGAGUUUGAUCCUGGCUCAGAACGAACGCUGGCGGCGUGGCUAAGACAUGCAAGUCAAACGGUCCGACAUUUAUUUGUUUACAAAUUCAUGUCGGAUAGUGGCGAAAGGGUUAGUAAUAGAUAGGUAACGUACCCUCUGCUUUGGGAUAGCGUCAUUCGUCUUCGGACGAAUUUCCGAAAGGGGCGGUAAUACCGAAUAAUAUCAUUUGUCGAUGGGCAAAUGAUCAAAGAUUUAUCGGCAAAGGAGCGGCCUAUCUCCUAUCAGCUUGUUGGUGAGGUAAAGGCUCACCAAGGCUAUGACGGGUAGCGGGACUGAGAGGUUGACCCGCAACAUCGGGACUGAGACACUGCCCGGACCUCCACGGAGGGCUGCAGUAACGAAUAUUGCGCAAUGGGCGAAAGCCUGACGCAGCGACGCCGCGUGUAGGAGGAAGUCUCUCGGGAUGUAAACUACUGUCAGGGUUAAGAAAGUACGUUUCGGCGUAUUGAUCUAACCCAGAGGAAGUCACGGCUAACUUCGUGCCAGCAGCCGCGGUAAGACGAAGGUGGCUAGCGUUGUUCGGUGUCACUGGGCUUAAAGAGUAUGUAGACGGAUAGGUAAGCGUCUUGUGAAAUCCCUCAGCUUAACUGAGGAAUUGCUAGGCGAACUGCUUAUCUUGAGGCAAGUAGGGGUGCAUGGAACUCUUGGUGGAGCGGUGGAAUGCGUAGAUAUCAAGAGGAACGCCGAUGGAGAAAUCAGUGCACUGGGCUUGUCCUGACGCUGAGAUACGAAAGCGUGGGAGCGACGGGAUUAGAUACCCCGGGUAGUCCACGCCGUAAACGAUGUCUACCUAGGGCCUGCCAGAU
rnacentral:rRNA from 1 species